rnacentral:rRNA from 1 species
GACGAACGCUGGCGGCGUGCUUAACACAUGCAAGUCACGGGGGUCCCGUAGCAAUACGGGAUAACCGGCGAACGGGUGCGUAACACGUGAGCAACCUGCCGUACUCAGGGGGAUAGCCGGCCCAACGGCCGGGUAAUACCGCAUACGAUUCUUCGGGGGAGUCCCCGGGGAAGGAAACCUCUGGGGGAGUACGAGGGGCUCGCGGCCUAUCAGCUAGUUGGUGCGGUAACGGCGCACCAAGGCGACGACGGGUAGCUGGCUGAGAGGAUGGCCAGCCACAUUGGGACUGAGAGACGGCCCAGACUCCUACGGGAGGCAGCAGUGGGGAAUCUUGCGCAAUGGCCGAAAGGCUGACGCAGCGACGCCGCGUGGGGGAUGAAGCAUUUC